GGGAUCUUAGUUCCCCAACCAGGGAUUGAACCUGGGCCACCGCAAUGAAAGUGCUGAGUGCUAAUCACUGGACCGCCAGGGAAUUUCCUGCUUUUUUUUUUUAAGACCAAAUAUGGU